CCUGGAGGCUUUGACCUCCCUGAAGAGUCGUUCGAGACCAGGACGUUGAUAGGUUGGAUGUGCAAGCGCUGUGAGGCGUUGAGCUGACCAAUACUAAUUGCUCGUGAAGCUUGAUCCU
rnacentral:rRNA from 1 species